rnacentral:rRNA from 1 species
UACGUAGGAGGCGAGCGUUGUCCGGAGUUACUGGGCGUAAAGGGUGCGCAGGCGGCCGCGCGCGUGGUGGGUGAAAUCUCCCGGCUCAACUGGGAGGGGGCUCAGCAGACGGCGUGGCUUGAGGCUCGGAGGGGGGCGUGGAAUUCCCGGUGUAGCGGUGAAAUGCGCAGAUAUCGGGAGGAACACCGGUGGCGAAGGCGGUUCUCUGGGCCUUACCUGACGCUGAGGAGCGAAAGCGUGGGGAGCGAACAGG